rnacentral:rRNA from 1 species
GACGAACGCUGGCGGCGUGCCUAAUACAUGCAAGUAGAACGCUGAAGCGAGGAGCUUACUCUUCUUGGAUGAGUUGCGAACGGGUGAGUAACGCGUAGGUAACCUGCCUUGUAGCGGGGGAUAACUAUUGGAGACGAUAGCUAAUACCGCAUAACAAUGGAUGACACAUGUUAUUUAUUUGAAAGGGGCAAUUGCUCCACUACAAGAUGGACCUGCGUUGUAUUAGCUAGUAGGUGAGGUAAUGGCUCACCUAGGCGACGAUACAUAGCCGACCUGAGAGGGUGAUCGGCCACACUGGGACUGGGACACGGCCCAGACUCCUACGGGAGGCAGCAGUAGGGAAUCUUCGGCAAUGGGGGCAACCCUGACCGAGCAACGCCGGGUGGGUGAAGAAGGUUUUCGGAUCGUAAAGCUCUGUUGUAAGUCAAGAACGAGUGUGGGAGUGGAAAGUUCACACUGUGACGGUAGCUUACCAGAAAGGGACGGCUAACUACGUG